AGAGUUUGAUCAUGGCUCAGAUUGAACGCUGGCGGUAUGCUUAACACAUGCAAGUCGAACGGCAGCACGAGAGAGCUUGCUCUCUUGGUGGCGAGUGGCGGACGGGUGAGUAACGCGUAGGAAUCUGCCUAGUAGUGGGGGACAACUCGGAGAAAUUCGAGCUAAUACCGCAUACGCCCUACGGGGGAAAGCAGGGGAUCUUCGGACCUUGCGCUAUUAGAUGAGCCUGCGUUGGAUUAGCUUGUUGGUGAGGUAAUGGCUCACCAAGGCAACGAUCCAUAGCUGGUCUGAGAGGACGAUCAGCCACACUGGGACUGAGACACGGCCCAGACUCCUACGGGAGGCAGCAGUGGGGAAUAUUGGACAAUGGGCGCAAGCCUGAUCCAGCAAUACCGCGUGUGUGAAGAAGGCCUGCGGGUUGUAAAGCACUUUCAAUUGUGAAGAAAAGCUUGGGGUUAAUACCCUCGAGUCUUGACGUUAACUUUAGAAGAAGCACCGGCUAACCCUGUGCCAGCAGCCGCGGUAAUACAGGGGGUGCGAGCGUUAAUCGGAAUUACUGGGCGUAAAGCGCGCGUAGGCGGUCUGUUAAGUCAGAUGUGAAAGCCCUGGGCUCAACCUGGGAACUGCAUUUGAUACUGGCAGACUGGAGUAUGGUAGAGGAAAGUGGAAUUUCGGGUGUAGCGGUGAAAUGCGUAGAUAUCCGAAGGAACAUCAGUGGCGAAGGCGACUUUCUGGACCAAACUGACGCUGAGGUGCGAAAGCGUGGGGAGCAAACAGGAUUAGAUACCCUAGUAGUCC
rnacentral:rRNA from 1 species